rnacentral:rRNA from 1 species
UACGUAGGGCGCAAGCGUUUGUCCGGAAUUAUUGGGCGUAAAGAGCUCGUAGGCGGUCUGUCGCGUCCGUUGUGAAAACUCGAGGCUCAACCUCGGGCUUGCAGUGGAUACGGGCAGACUAGAGUGCGGUAGGGGAGACUGGAAUUCCUGGUGUAGCGGUGGAAUGCGCAGAUAUCAGGAGGAACACCGGUGGCGAAGGCGGGUCUCUGGACCGACACUGACGCUGAGGCGCGAAAGCGUGGGGAGCAAACAGG